AGCGAACGCUAGCGGCAGGCUUAACACAUGCAAGUCGAGCGCCCCGCAAGGGGAGCGGCAGACGGGAGAGUAACACGUGGGAACAUACCUUUUGGUUCGGAACAACUGAGGGAAACUUCAGCUAAUACCGGAUAAGCCCUUACGGGGAAAGAUUUAUCGCCGAAAGAUUGGCCCGCGUCUGAUUAGCUAGUUGGUGAGGUAACGGCUCACCAAGGCGACGAUCAGUAGCUGGUCUGAGAGGAUGAUCAGCCUCACUGGGACUGAGACACGGCCCAGACUCCUACGGGAGGCAGCAGUGGGGAAUAUUGGACAAUGGGGGCAACCCUGAUCCAGCCAUGCCGCGUGAGUGAUGAAGGCCUUAGGGUUGUAAAGCUCUUUUGCCCGGGAAGAUAAUGACGGUACCGGGAGAAUAAGCCCCGGCUAACUUCGUG
rnacentral:rRNA from 1 species